rnacentral:rRNA from 1 species
GGGAGCGCGACGAGGUAGAAUCAGACGGUACCGGCGGUGACAGUAGCAGCUGGAUGCGCAGGGGCUGGUAGGGGCUCGGAGGACUCGUACGGGACCUCGAAGUCGCCGAGGCUGAGGUGGCUGAUGCACGUAGCCAAGCUCGAACCUGCGGGACGACGGAGCGGUAGUGCAGCAGAAGAGGCGGUGGCGGCGGCGUAGAGCAGCAGCUCGAGCAGCGCAGGUCGGUGGGGGCGCGAGGGGCUGGAGCGGUAGCCUGAACAUAGGGCUCCGCCGGCCGCUGGGGGUCAAGCUGAUGCCACAACUGCUGGGGAGGAAGAACGGUCUCGUUGGUC